rnacentral:rRNA from 1 species
UACGGAGGGUGCAAGCGUUAUCCGGAUUCACUGGGUUUAAAGGGUGCGUAGGUGGAUCGGUAAGUCCGUGGUGAAAUCCCCGAGCUUAACUCGGGAACUGCCGUGGAUACUAUCGAUCUUGAAUACUGUGGAGGUAAGCGGAAUAUGUCAUGUAGCGGUGAAAUGCUUAAAUAUGACAUAGAACACCGAUAGCGAAGGCAGCUUGCUACACAGUUAUUGACACUGAGGCACGAAAGCGUGGGGAGCAAACAGG